rnacentral:rRNA from 1 species
AACGAACGCUGGCGGCAUGCCUAACACAUGCAAGUCGAACGAUGCCUUCGGGCAUAGUGGCGCACGGGUGCGUAACGCGUGGGAAUCUGCCUUUCGGUUCGGAAUAACUCAGGGAAACUUGAGCUAAUACCGGAUAACGUCGCAAGACCAAAGAUUUAUCACCGAAAGAUGAGCCCGCGUAGGAUUAGCUAGUUGGUGAGGUAAAGGCUCACCAAGGCGACGAUCCUUAGCUGGUCUGAGAGGAUGAUCAGCCACACUGGGACUGAGACACGGCCCAGACUCCUACGGGAGGCAGCAGUGGGGAAUAUUGGACAAUGGGCGAAAGCCUGAGCCAGCAAUGCCGCGUGAGUGAUGAAGGCCUUAGGGUUGUAAAGCUCUUUUACCCGGGAAGAUAAUGACGGUACCGGGAGAAUAAGCCCCGGCUAACUCCGUG